UUUACUGCAGUCUGCACUGGCAUUUUGUCAUCGACCUACGUCAAGAGACAUCAUAAGAAACAGCUCAGUGAAACUUAUUGUUGCAGUUCCUGGAGGCAAGUUGAUGAGGUUGUGGUUCACGAUGUCACAUGAUGUCCUCUUUAGGAGGACAGAUGGGAAAAAUGUCUCUCGGAUCUCAGUACCAGGAAUAGAUGUAUUUCUCCUGAGAAUUUCUUCUGCAUCUCUCUUUUGUUGGGUCCCUUGUUUGCCGGAUCUCAUAUUUUCCUUUUGGUUUUAUGCACUUGGUUUGGUGGAACUCAUCCUGCAAUAGCUUCCUGAGAAAAAGUUCAUGAAAGGAUUCAGAACUGGAGAAACAAGAAAAGACAAUGUGUGAAAGCAGUAGCCGACAGACACGGAGAGAGGCAGUAUUCAGACUUCAUGAGUAAGCAGAAGCUGUGAAUAAACAAGAGCUCUGAGCGAACAAAAGCCACGAGGCAGCACAAAGGUACGCAAAGUAACGAUGGAGUGAUAGAAGGGUCAGAGAGGUAGCAUUCCGGAGGUUCACAGAGGCUUCGAGAGCGCAGCUGCAUUUCCUGGCUCACGGCCCCCUUCCAUCCUCAAAACCAGCAACGGCAAGGUGAGUCCUCACAUGGAGUCACUCCACCCUCUAUGUCUGGUAUCACAUUUCCUUCUGACUUUUCUGCUUGCCUCUUCUAUAUUAAGGACCCUUAUGAUUACAGAGGGCCCACCAGAAUAAUCCAGGAUAAUCGCCUUCUAUUAAAGUCAGCUGAUUUGCACCCUUAAUUCUAUUUGCAACCCUUGCCAUGGUGCCAUGAGUUCCCUUGCCCUUUGGUGUGAUAUAUUCAUAGGUUCCAGAGAUAGGGUAUGUGUAUCUUUGGGUUCUCUUACUCCGCCUUCAACAACCAUUAUCCAUUAUGUGCUGCUCUCUGCUUCUAAACCAGAAUUUAGAAUUUAGUGAACUCCCUCAGAUCCCAGGCUCGAGCCAUCUUCUUUAUGAUGGUGUCCAUGAAUCCCAUGCUGGAGGAGUUGUUCUCUGGCCUCACUGGCUCGCUUCACCUAAUCUGACCUUUAUAUAAACUAACCCGAGGUGCCACACACUGAGCCUAAAAGUACUCUGGUUGCUUUGCCCAAACUGGUGGGUAGGAGAAACUUUUUUAUUUCUUCACAUUCAGAUUUUUUAUUGUGAUAGCCAGCUCAUAGAUCCAGUUUUUCUUUGAUGGAAUAUUUUCAAACGUAAGAAGCUUAUCUGUCCAUUCUGUGUCACAGCCUUAUCUGAUAGUACUUUCAUUAGCUCGAUUAAUGCCUGAGGACAGUUUACACAAACUACAAUAAUCAUUAGCUGCCAGUUCCUAAAACUACUCAGAGGUGCCUAUACUGUUUUAGAUAUGUACAUAAAGGCACACUCAUACCUUCUUAGAUACAUGCAUGAAGGCACACUCAUCUACACACACAGUGAUCAAUGUGGUGGGAAAAAGAUCUUAAACAUCUGUUAAGAUGUGCUAGAUGUCCACAGGGUAAUGUAUGGAAGUGUUGAAUUACUAUAUUGUACCCCUGAAACUCAUAUAACACUGUA